GGAGGACUGGUUCAUUGGUAGAAUACUUGUCUACAACAUAUGACACCCUGGGUUCAAUCCCUAGUACCUCUC
rnacentral:tRNA from 1 species